CAGUCGCCGCGGUAAUACGGAGGGGGCUGGCGUUGUUCGGAAUUACUGGGCGUAAAGCGCACGUAGGCGGCUUGGUAAGUUAGAGGUGAAAGCCCGGAGCUCAACUCCGGAAUUGCCUUUAAGACUGCCGAGCUAGUAGGUGAGAGAGGUAAGUGGAAUUCCGAGUGUAGAGGUGAAAUUCGUAGAUAUUCGGAAGAACACCAGUGGCGAAGGCGGCUUACUGGCUCAUUCUAGACGCUGAGGUGCGAAAGCGUGGGGAGCAAACAGGAUUAGAUACCCCUGUAGUCCCUGUCUCUUAUAC
rnacentral:rRNA from 1 species